rnacentral:misc_RNA from 1 species
UGUAGGGUAGGUGACCAGGUCCAGGGUAGGUUCGCCAAAUCCGUCAAUCCGGCUUGAAUCGAAGGACAGGUCUAGGGUAGGCCAGAGUCGGGUCUAGGGUAGGCAACCCUCACCCUCGAAGUGGUCUACCCGGUAGCCAACUUCAAUCGCCUCUCACGGCCGCCACGGACCUCGAAUGACGACGGGACUACCACCAUCGGAUUCGCCUUGGUCGAAAUAGCUGGUAUAUGCACUUUUGAAAAAAUGCGUGCAAAAUGGUUUUGUGGUUUGGUGGCCGUGAGUCGAUUUUUUUGUUUUCCCAUACAAAUGAAUUUUGCGGAAAAUAAAAAGUGGCCCACGAGGCAGUCCUGGCGUGCGGCCCACUAAAACGGUCUCGGAGGGUAUAUGAGAAGGGAGCAAAUCCGGCCGAGCCUGAAAGGGUGAGGACAAACCGGGCGAGCAACCUCUCAGUAUCAGAUCUUGCAGACUUCCACUGCGUGUCCCUCUGUACAGCUUUGCAGGCUCCGGCCUCGGCAGCGGGGGGUUCAUAGUGGUCGUCGACCUCCACGAAACUGCACGCUCCGGCGUGACAGCGUACUGGGGAUGCCUGUGUAGAUGCAGUCCGGGCUUGCCUGGACCGCUAGCAGAUGGGCUCUGUGGAUGACUGGCCGCUGGCUAGACCUGAAACCUGAGCAACGGGAGGUAACCUCUCGCCGCGGACACCGGAAUGGUAGAAGCGGCGUGCUGCGUCCUCCUCUUGGGGCCCCUAAGCCACACCUCCCACAGCGGGUUCGGUGCGGCGGACGGACGCCCUGGGGAAUUUAGAGGGGGAAAGCGGAUUGCCCUAGCGGUGUUGUUGGCCCUGCCGACCUCACUGCGAAAGGCGCGACUUCACCGUCGCCACCCAGUAACUUUCUCUCC